CACAAAUUCACCCUCCUUGCUGUGCAUUUCCCCCACUGCCUAAUCUAAUUCUCUAGGGUUUUUGGGGCCUAUAUAUACAUGUUUACAACCCUUGGCAAAGGGUUGAACCUCCCAUAUUCAUCAUUCAUGCAGAAAAUUCGUCCAUACUUACCCUAGGCAGCAAAAUACCCCAAAAACACCAUUCUAGUGCCCAGAAAACAUAACAGCCACUCCACCCUCCAACCAUCAAACACUCCUUCACACUCACCCUAAACCUUUCCAUACCAUUCCCCAUCCAUUCUACACCAUAAAACUACCCAAAACCUGUCCAUAACCCAAUCUGCCGUAAGCAAGGGAAAUGAGGAAUCUUGGAUGCACUUGCUGCCAAGUUGGAGCAUUCUA
rnacentral:lncRNA from 1 species